rnacentral:rRNA from 1 species
GACGAACGCUGGCGGCGUGCUUAACACAUGCAAGUCGAACGAGUGGCGAACGGGUGAGUAACGCGUAUCAAACUGCCCGAUGGAGGGGGAUAACUACUGGAAACGGUAGCUAAUACCGCAUACCAUCGGAUGUGCCCAGAUGGGAUUAGCUAGUAGGUGGGGUAACGGCUCACCUAGGCGACGAUCCCUAGCUGGUCUGAGAGGAUGACCAGCCACACUGGAACUGAGACACGGUCCAGACUCCUACGGGAGGCAGCAGUGGGGAAUAUUGCACAAUGGGCGCAAGCCGGAUGCAGCCAUGCCGCGUGUAUGAAGAAGGCCUUCGGGUUGUAAAGUACUUUCAGCGAGGAGGCGUUACUCGCAGAAGAAGCACCGGCUAACUCCGUGCCAGCAGCCGCGGUAAUAC